GCAUUGGUGGUAUAGUGGUGAGCACAACUGCCUUCCAAGCAGUUGACCCGGGUUCCGAUUCCCGGCCAAUGCA